rnacentral:rRNA from 1 species
GAUGAACGCUGGCGGCGUGCCUAAUACAUGCAAGUCGAGCGAACAGACGAGGAGCUUGCUCCUCUGACGUUAGCGGCGGACGGGUGAGUAACACGUGGAUAACCUACCUAUAAGACUGGGAUAACUUCGGGAAACCGGAGCUAAUACCGGAUAAUAUAUUGAACCGCAUGGUUCAAUAGUGAAAGACGGUUUUGCUGUCACUUAUAGAUGGAUCCGCGCCGCAUUAGCUAGUUGGUAAGGUAACGGCUUACCAAGGCAACGAUGCGUAGCCGACCUGAGAGGGUGAUCGGCCACACUGGAACUGAGACACGGUCCAGACUCCUACGGGAGGCAGCAGUAGGGAAUCUUCCGCAAUGGGCGAAAGCCUGACGGAGCAACGCCGCGUGAGUGAUGAAGGUCUUCGGAUCGUAAAACUCUGUUAUUAGGGAAGAACAAAUGUGUAAGUACCUAUGAACGUCUUGACGGUACCUAAUCAGAAAGCCACGGCUAACUACGUG